CCCUUAGAUGUCCUGGGCAGCACGCGUGCUACAAUGAUGCAUUCAACGAGUCUUGCCUUAACCGAAAGGUUCGGGUAAACUUUUGAAAUUGCAUCUUGUCGGGACUUGAUCAUUGUAAUUUUUGAUCACAAACAAGGAAUUCCUUGUAAAUGUGAGUCAUCAACUUGCAUUGAAUACGUCCCUGCCCUUUGUACACACCGCCCGUCGCUUCUACCGAUGAAUGAUCCGGUGAACACUCUGGACUUGUUGUCUGUCGGAGCAAUCCAAAGACGAUAGGGAAGUUGUGUAAACCUUAUCAUUUAGAGGAAGAAGAAGUCGUAACA
rnacentral:rRNA from 1 species